rnacentral:rRNA from 1 species
GACGAACGCUGGCGGCGUGCUUAACACAUGCAAGUCGAACGGAAAGGCCUGCUUUCCCUUGUGGAUUGCGGGUACUCGAGUGGCGAACGGGUGAGUAACACGUGAGUGAUCUGCCCCCAACUUGGGUAUAAGCCUGGGAAACUGGGUCUAAUUCCCGAUAGGACUGCAGGGUGGUGCCUGUGGUGGAAAACGAUUUUCUAGUGGUUGGGGAUGAGCUCGCGGCCUAUCAGCUUGUUGGUGGGGUAAUGGCCUACCAAGGCGGCGACGGGUAGCCGGCCUGAGAGGGUGGACGGCCACAUUGGGACUGAGAUACGGCCCAGACUCCUACGGGAGGCAGCAGUGGGGAAUAUUGCACAAGGGGCGGAAGCCUGAUGCAGCGACGCCGCGUGGGGGAUGACGGCCUUCGGGUUGUAAACUCCUUUCGACCGCGAGGAAGCCACCUGGUUGGAAGGGUGGUGACGGUAGUGGGAGAAGAAGCACCGGCUAACUACGUG